rnacentral:rRNA from 1 species
AUUGAACGCUGGCGGCAGGCCUAACACAUGCAAGUCGAACGGUAACAGGAAGCAGCUUGCUGCUUCGCUGACGAGUGGCGGACGGGUGAGUAAUGUCUGGGAAGCUGCCUGAUGGAGGGGGAUAACUACUGGAAACGGUAGCUAAUACCGCAUAAUGUCGCAAGACCAAAGAGGGGGCCUUCGGGCCUCUUGCCAUCGGAUGUGCCCAGAUGGGAUUAGCUUGUUGGUGGGGUAACGGCUCACCAAGGCGACGAUCCCUAGCUGGUCUGAGAGGAUGACCAGCCACACUGGGACUGAGACACGGUCCAGACUCCUACGGGAGGCAGCAGUGGGGAAUAUUGCACAAUGGGCGCAAGCCUGAUGCAGCCAUGCCGCGUGUAUGAAGAAGGCCUUCGGGUUGUAAAGUACUUUCAGCGGGGAGGAAGGGAGUAAAGUUAAUACCUUUGCUCAUUGACGUUACCCGCAGAAGAAGCACCGGCUAACUCCGUG